UAGAUACGAGUUUGUCAAAUUAGCCAAUGACGACUGCCUGUAAUGCAACAAACUAAGAGUUUCUAGAAUAUUUAAUAAAUACAUAAACUUUAAGAAGCUAUGUAACAGGCAAGUCAUCUUUGGCUACCAAACAAAACUCAUUUCU
rfam:Cucumis melo, WGS project CAJI01000000 data, contig: 09879